rnacentral:rRNA from 1 species
GACGAACGCUGGCGGCGUGCUUAACGCAUGCAAGUCGAACGGAAAGGCCCUGCUUUUGUGGGGUGCUCGAGUGGCGAACGGGUGAGUAACACGUGAGUAACCUGCCCUUGACUUUGGGAUAACUUCAGGAAACUGGGGCUAAUACCGGAUAGGAGCUCCUGCUGCAUGGUGGGGGUUGGAAAGUUUCGGCGGUUGGGGAUGGACUCGCGGCUUAUCAGCUUGUUGGUGGGGUAGUGGCUUACCAAGGCUUUGACGGGUAGCCGGCCUGAGAGGGUGACCGGCCACAUUGGGACUGAGAUACGGCCCAGACUCCUACGGGAGGCAGCAGUGGGGAAUAUUGCACAAUGGGCGGAAGCCUGAUGCAGCAACGCCGCGUGCGGGAUGACGGCCUUCGGGUUGUAAACCGCUUUCGCCUGUGACGAAGCGUGAGUGACGGUAAUGGGUAAAGAAGCACCGGCUAACUACGUGCCAGCAGCCGCGGUGAUACGUAGGGCGCGAGCGUUGUCCGGAUUUAUUGGGCGUAAAGGGCUCGUAGGUGGUUGAUCGCGUCGGAAGUGUAAUCUUGGGGCUUAACCCUGAGCGUGCUUUCGAUACGGGUUGACUUGAGGAAGGUAGGGGAGAAUGGAAUUCCUGGUGGAGCGGUGGAAUGCGCAGAUAUCAGGAGGAACACCAGUGGCGAAGGCGGUUCUCUGGGCCUUUCCUGACGCUGAGGAGCGAAAGCGUGGGGAGCGAACAGGCUUAGAUACCCUGGUAGUCCACGCUGUAAACGGUGGGUACUAGGUGUGGGGUCCAUUCCACGGGUUCCGUGCCGUAGCUAACGCUUUAAGUACCCCGCCUGGGGAGUACGGCCGCAAGGCUAAAACUCAAAGGAAUUGACGGGGCCCCGCACAAGCGGCGGAGCAUGCGGAUUAAUUCGAUGCAACGCGUAGAACCUUACCUGGGUUUGACAUGGAUCGGGAGUGCUCAGAGAUGGGUGUGCCUCUUUUGGGGUCGGUUCACAGGUGGUGCAUGGCUGUCGUCAGCUCGUGUCGUGAGAUGUUGGGUUAAGUCCCGCAACGAGCGCAACCCUUGUUCACUGUUGCCAGCACGUUAUGGUGGGGACUCAGUGGAGACCGCCGGGGUCAACUCGGAGGAAGGUGGGGAUGACGUCAAGUCAUCAUGCCCCUUAUGUCCAGGGCUUCACGCAUGCUACAAUGGCUGGUACAGAGAGUGGCGAGCCUGUGAGGGUGAGCGAAUCUCGGAAAGCCGGUCUCAGUUCGGAUUGGGGUCUGCAACUCGACCUCAUGAAGUCGGAGUCGCUAGUAAUCGCAGAUCAGCAACGCUGCGGUGAAUACGUUCCCGGGGCU